AUUGAACGCUGGCGGAAUGCUUUACACAUGCAAGUCGAACGGCAGCACGGACUUCGGUCUGGUGGCGAGUGGCGAACGGGUGAGUAACAUAUCGGAACGUAUCCAAUAAUGGGGGAUAACGAGUCGAAAGAUUCGCUAAUACCGCAUACGCCCUACGGGGGAAAGCUGGGGACCUUCGGGCCUGGCGUUAAUAGUGCGGCCGAUAUCUGAUUAGCUAGUUGGUGAGGUAAAGGCUCACCAAGGCGACGAUCAGUAGCUGGUCUGAGAGGACGACCAGCCACACUGGAACUGAGACAUGGUCCAGACUCCUACGGGAGGCAGCAGUGGGGAAUUUUGGACAAUGGGCGCAAGCCUGAUCCAGCCAUUCCGCGUGAGUGAAGAAGGCCUUCGGGUUGUAAAGCUCUUUCGCAAGGGAAGAAAACUUAGCCACUAACAUUGGUUGAGGUUGACGGUACCUUGAUAAGAAGCACCGGCUAACUACGUGCCAGCCGCCGCGGUAA
rnacentral:rRNA from 1 species